rnacentral:rRNA from 1 species
UGGGGAAUUUUGGACAAUGGGCGCAAGCCUGAUCCAGCAAUGCCGCGUGCAGGAAGAAGGCCUUCGGGUUGUAAACUGCUUUUGUCAGGGAAGAAAUCUUCUGGGCUAAUACCCCGGGAGGAUGACGGUACCUGAAGAAUAAGCACCGGCUAACUACGUGCCAGCAGCCGCGGUAAUACGUAGGGUGCGAGCGUUAAUCGGAAUUACUGGGCGUAAAGCGUGCGCAGGCGGUUAUGUAAGACAGAUGUGAAAUCCCCGGGCUCAACCUGGGAACUGCAUUUGUGACUGCAUGACUGGAGUGCGGCAGAGGGGGAUGGAAUUCCGCGUNUAGCAGUAAAAAUGCGUAGAUAUGCGGAGGAACACCGAUGGCGAAGGCAAUCCCCUGGGCCUGCACUGACGCUCAUGCACGAAAGCGUGGGGAGCAAACAGGAUUAGAUACCCCUGGUAGUCCACGCCCUAAACGAUGUCAACUGGUUGUUGGACGGCUUGCUGUUCAGUAACGAAGCUAACGCGUGAAGUUGACCGCCUGGGGAGUACGGCCGCAAGGUUGAAACUCAAAUGAA